GGCGGUGUGGCUCAGUGGUGGAGCUCUCGCCUAGCACAUGUGGGGCACUGGGUUCCAUCCUCAGCACCGCAA
rfam:Ictidomys tridecemlineatus contig080438, whole genome shotgun sequence.